rnacentral:rRNA from 1 species
UACGAAGGGGGCUAGCGUUGUUCGGAAUCACUGGGCGUAAAGCGCACGUAGGCGGAUUGUUAAGUCGGGGGUGAAAUCCUGAGGCUCAACCUCAGAACUGCCUCCGAUACUGGCAAUCUCGAGUUCGGAAGAGGUUGGUGGAACAGCUAGUGUAGAGGUGAAAUUCGUAGAUAUUAGCUAGAACACCAGUGGCGAAGGCGGCCAACUGGUCCGAUACUGACGCUGAGGUGGCGAAAAGCGUGGGGAGCAACAGGG